rnacentral:lncRNA from 1 species
GCUCCGGCGAGCACUCGAGGGGUAGUAAUUGGGGUCAAACGGGUAGAGAUUACCUGGCGUGCCGACUAUGUAAAGAUACGGCGCCGGUGGCGGCGGAGGACAAUACGGUACGGGCCACUUCGGAGGCGGAGGCGGAGGCGGCGGUUUCUGCGUGCAGCCGCAGGGAUUGCAGUCGCAUUUGAUCUGAGCGUCGGGCACCGACGGGGUUACUGCUGCAGAGCAGCCGACCAUUAUCGAGGCAGCCGCGAUCAUGAUAAGCGUCGACUUCACCAGCAGUGGCGAAGGCUUUCGGCAGCAUCGUCGCAUCUUUUCCGACGUCCUCCUCCUCUCUCUCUUUCUCUCUCUCUCUCUCUCUCUCUCAUACACAGACACACACACUCUCCGAGUAGGAGACAGCUCUGUGGACUUGGCUUUGCUUCUCCUUUCCGUUCACGUCGAGGGCUUAAUUGGGUUGGUCCAAAGUGGAUUGCGGAGAUGGUAAAGCUGUGGAGUGUAUAGGAAGAGGAGGUUGGUGUAAGAAAACAAUGUAAUCUUCUUCUUCUUGUUUCUCUUUCUAUUGUUGCAUGAACAACUAUGGGUGUAAUUGGUAGAAGAAAAAAGUGUUGAGGUGUGUUGUUGCAUGGUUAUCCUUCUAUUAUUGUUUUGUCUGAAAGCGAUCGGCAUGUGGAUGCCCUAAUAUGAUGGGACCCAGAUGAACUGCACAUCCAUUAUUUUGGGGUUUGAUUAUCCGUAUUUUCGGAUAAUUAAAACUAAAUACGAUCAAAUGAACAUUUGGAUAUGAUUCAAUGAAUGUUCUUCCCAAUGUCAUACGAUUAGAGCUAUCACUAUAAACAGGUCUCUUCAGGUAUGUUUUGAUCAUGCGAUUAAAUACUUACUCUUACAUUGAAUGCCUAGAUACCAAAUUCCUACAGGAGAUUCAUAUGCAACUUUAUCAAGUCGAGAGAGAUUAUAUCUCAAGUCGGGAUUCGACCUCGACAUCCAAGUCAAGAGAGAGAUAGGAAGCUCCUCUAACUUAGGUUCUCUCUCUAAAGCAUUUUUGCAGUGUAUGUAAGAAAGUAAAAAUGGGAGUCCAGUAGUAGAAUGAUAUGAUAAGGUAGGUUCUGAGUACUUGCCACUGGGCUUGUAGCUGCUGACUCGUUUUGAAAGGCAAGUUCAUGGUAUUCAGAGACAGCAACGAAGCUGAAUGUAGACCCGCCACCAACCUGUUCAAGAUAAGAAUAAUUAAGACGAAUGGGUAGGCCAUGGAAAAGGGGAAGGAACACAAGCAUUCAUUUAAGAGUUACAGGAUGCCCCCCCAGCCAAAUUCUAACUCUAGAUAAUUUAUCUUUCCCAACACUAAUCACAACAGUUCUAAGACAAAUAUGGAUUAACCUAUUGUGGAUUGGUUUGUCAUUAUUAUGAUUAUGUUAUAGGAUCAAAACAAGCUAAGCCUGAAAUGAGAUGCCAAUCAGUGGGCCUCAACUCGGUCAUCAAUGACUAAUUUUGAAUUUAAAGGGCAUUAUCUUGACGAACGCAUCACUUGUUUAGCUGAUUGCAGUCUUAUAUAUCUGAACAAGAAAAAUUAUAUGAUACACAUAGAUAUCAUGGCUGUCUAUAUGUUUAAAUCAAAAUGGUUAGCAAAUACCAAACUUUGUUUGGCAUCGAUUCUGCAGACUCCUAAACAUAAACUUUGUUUUGAAUGAUACCUCACAAUUCCAAACAACUCAGUGCCGGUGUCUUCGACUCCAUGCCAUCCAGAAGCCACUUCCAAGUUGACAAACAUCCUCCAUCGGCAAAGGGGCAAGGCUGAGAUGGUGAGCCAGAAUCCUGUACCAUUUCCAGCAGCAUCUGCUGUAGCUCCUCCAAGUCCAGGCUAUAUUGCUUCUCCUGACAUGAUUAAGGUGAGUUCGUUCCAGAAACAUGCCAACAGGUUGCUUGAAAGAAUAAAGCUGUAGACAACAAGAAAUUUUUUGGCCAUGAAUAGUUGAUGAUUUAUAUGUAUACAUCGGUAUCUGAAAUUGUUAAUAGGACACUAAUCUGUUGAUAUUGCUACAACAAAUAUCACAUCAUCACCAAUUAUAUCAUUGUACUUAUUGGAAGCUUGUGCCUGAGCUGGAGUAUCCAAUAAUUGAAUUCACUGAUGAGGUCAGAUUUAGUCAUCUUGCCAAAAAAAAAGCUAAAAUAGAAGGAUUACUAAUAUGAACAUGAGAAGCAAGGUUGAGCUGAGGUGGUAUUGAGUUUUCUGACCACAUCAGAAAUCAACUACUGAUGUGUCUAAAUCAAAUUGGCCAUGAUUAUAUCAUGCAAGACACUAAGUCAGUCCAAAAGAGUAGGAUCCUAUGUUAUGGAUCAAUCAUAAUAUCUGUAAUCCUACUAUAUCUUCUUAGUUCAUCUUUCUUUUAUCUCACAUACAUGAAUAUUUCCAAUAAAAAUAAGAUAAAAGUUAUAAUAUACUCAACGAGAUCCUCCUCUGAUGCUUAGAUCAAGAUAUUCUUUCAGAUGGUGAAAUAAUACUGAAAAAAAAAUCAAAUUAGAAAAGUAUUCAGAGUAUCAAAUCAAUAGUUUCUGAGGAGAAAAUCCCUUUAUACAAUAGUCCAACUGUCGAAUAAUUCGAAUAGAGUAAUUAUCCUAUUUAGAUCUUGUUGCUAACCAGAUGUUAAUUUAGUUUGUCUAAUGAUUUUAUCUUGAUGACAUGAUAGUUUGAUAUUAACUGCUUUGAUAACUAUUUUGGUUACAUGUGAUGCUGUUACAACACCUGAGUCAUUAGCUCAUAGGUGCAGGCUUGAAGUCAAUUUAUACACCCACAUCAUCAACAAAACUAAAUUAAUUGCCAUUUAGUCUAAGUAUGAGCUGAAAUUUAUGCCAUCUACAGUGAAGGUCAUGUAUAAGCUCGAGGCCUAUAAAAUUUCAUAGCAAAACAUGAAUUUUAGAUAUUUCCUUCUUUUGCUAUGUUCGUGUUCCUCAGGUGGAUCAUAAAGAAUAGAGUCGUACAAUCUCCUCCUCGUCCCAUCCGACAACA